GGGGAAUAUUGCGCAAUGGGCGAAAGCCUGACGCAGCAACGCCGCGUGCGGGAUGAAGGCCUUCGGGUUGUAAACCGCUUUCAGCAGGGACGAAGGGUUUCUGACGGUACCUGCAGAAGAAGCACCGGCUAACUACGUGCCAGCAGCCGCGGUAAUACGUAGGUGGCAAGCGUUGUCCGGAUUUACUGGGUGUAAAGGGCGUGUAGCCGGGAAGGCAAGUCAGAUGUGAAAUCUGGAGGCUCAACCUCCAAACUGCAUUUGAAACUGCUUUUCUUGGGUGUCGGAGAGGUAAACGGAAAUUCUUGUGUAGGGGUGAAAUGCGUAGAUAUAAGGAAGGACACCAGUGGCGAAGGCGGAUUACUUGACGAUAACUGACGGUGAGGCGCGAAAGCGUGGGGAGCAAACA
rnacentral:rRNA from 1 species